rnacentral:rRNA from 1 species
GAUGAACGCUAGCGGGAGGCUUAAUACAUGCAAGUCGAGGGGUAACAUGAGAGCUUGCUCUUGAUGACGACCGGCGCACGGGUGAGUAACGCGUACACGAUCUACCUUCAGGUAAGGGAUAGCCCUGGGAAACUGGGAGUAAUACCUUAUGGUAUUGAUUUAUUUAGAUAUUGAUCAAUUAAAGCUUUGGUGCCUGGAGAUGAGUGUGCGUCCUAUUAGCUAGUUGGUAAGGUAAUGGCUUACCAAGGCGACGAUAGGUAGGGGGCGUGAGAGCGUGAUCCCCCACACGGGUACUGAGACACGGACCCGACUCCUACGGGAGGCAGCAGUAAGGAAUAUUGGACAAUGGGCGCAAGCCUGAUCCAGCCAUCCCGCGUGUAGGAUGACUGCCCUCUGGGUUGUAAACUACUUUUAUAUGGGAAGAAUAGCAGUGACUUGUCAUUGUAUGACGGUACCAUAAGAAUAAGCACCGGCUAACUCCG